AAGCCAGAGUAUUUCCGUGGCUUGACGAACCUGCCAAGGAGAAGCGGCUUCUGGCACACCGGCCGAGCAUCGAUUCUUAAGCGGCCGGUUCCUGUUCCUCGUGGCAGUCGCGACUCGAUCUCGGCCGAGGUCGGAAUGAACGCGGCUCAUACCGGAGAGAUGUUCCAGUGGCGACAGGGACGACGGGCUCUUGCCAGUGCCUGCCCCUGGUAAGAAGCUACGGCUCUGUAUCAGGGGCAGGUACCCAACCUACCGUCCCCGGACUGACUUAUGGUAACUCGACCCCUGCACGGAUCUCGGACUGACCCUGGCAACUAACCCCUGCCAGGCCCCCUUACCCCCCAGCCUCCAGGAGCAGACGUCAGACGAACACCUUUCCCUUCAGCACUGCAAGCAUUCCUUUGCCUUCUGGUGCAGCUGCCCUGCUUGGGCGCGACCAGAAGAAAUGAAUCGCCUCUUUUGCUCGCUAUUCUCAAGACUGCAGACAUUGGAUGCUUCUUGUGGUCAUUAUUUACGAUUUGUGAUCUCGAUGAAUUGACAGACUCACCGAUAUCAGGCCGUAUUUUAAUCUAUCCGGAUACUCUACACGAUCAAAAAGAUACUUGCAUCAAGUGUCCAUAGCAACACAAUUACUUUCUUUAUUCUUUCUCGGUCAGCGAUGUUUCUGGACGGCGCUUCAUUCCCUGUGUUAAUGUAUUGGUGAAGUUCCUUGUGAUCCUGUAGAUUUUCCUCAUUGUACUUAGCACUAUGUUGUAUUUAAGGUACAAUAUGUUGUGCUGCUGUGUAUGAGGCUAUCUGAAGUUGUUUCUAUCACUGUUGAAUAAAUUCUAUUUUCGUU